UACGAAGGGGGCUAGCGUUGCUCGGAAUUACUGGGCGUAAAGCGCACGUAGGCGGCUUUCUAAGUCGGGGGUGAAAUCCUGGAGCUCAACUCCAGAACUGCCUUCGAUACUGGAAAGCUCGAGUCCGGGAGAGGUGAGUGGAACUGCGAGUGUAGAGGUGAAAUUCGUAGAUAUUCGCAAGAACACCAGUGGCGAAGGCGGCUCACUGGCCCGGUACUGACGUUGAUGCGCGAAAGCGUGGGGAGCAAACAGG
rnacentral:rRNA from 1 species